rnacentral:rRNA from 1 species
AGGACGAACGCUGGCGGCGUGCUUAACACAUGCAAGUCGAGCGGUAAGGCCCUUCGGGGUACACGAGCGGCGAACGGGUGAGUAACACGUGGGUGAUCUGCCCUGUACUUCGGGAUAAGCCUGGGAAACUGGGUCUAAUACCGGAUAUGACCUUACAUCGCAUGGUGUUUGGUGGAAAGAUUUAUCGGUACAGGAUGGGCCCGCGGCCUAUCAGCUUGUUGGUGGGGUAAUGGCCUACCAAGGCGACGACGGGUAGCCGGCCUGAGAGGGCGACCGGCCACACUGGGACAGAGACACGGCCCAGACUCCUACGGGAGGCAGCAGUGGGGAAUAUUGCACAAUGGGCGAAAGCCUGAUGCAGCGACGCCGCGUGAGGGAUGACGGCCUUCGGGUUGUAAACCUCUUUCGACAGGGACGAAGCGCAAGUGACGGUACCUGUAGAAGAAGCACCGGCCAACUACGUGCCAGCAGCCGCGGUAAUACGUAGGGUGCGAGCGUUGUCCGGAAUUACUGGGCGUAAAGAUCCUGUAAAAGGGGUUGUCGCGUCGUCCGUGAAAACUUGGGGCUCAACCCCAAGCUUGCGGGCGAUACGGGCAGACUUGAGUUCUUCAGGGGAGACUGGAAUUCCUGGUGUAGCGGUGAAAUGCGCAGAUAUCAGGAGGAACACCGGUGGGCGAAAGGCGGG